rnacentral:lncRNA from 1 species
UUGCUACUUCAGGUUGUUAAGACAGUCGUUAUAAGGGGAGCAAGAGUCAGAUUAGUUCAAUUUCUUUCUCCUGGGGCAGGGAGGAGAGGGAGCAGCAAGCCAGCCUCGUGGCCUUCUCGUCUCUAGCCUACAAGGAAUAGGCUGAUUUCCCCUUGGCAAGGCGCCUGAAGCAGCUGGCAGGCAAGCCCUCCUCUUCCUACUUCAGUACGCCCUCUGACCUGACUGCACUCAGAAACCAAAAUUCUGCAGGUGAAUGUAGGCUCCCAUUUCGUCCCACAAUCAUUUCAUCAUUCAGGCACAGCUUGACCUCUAAUGUGACAUCACAAACCCUUCCGGUCCACAGUUUUUUUUUCUUCUUCAGAAACUACCUAAACAAGGAAGUUUGUGUUCCAAGGUAAGAUAACCUGAAAUGAAAAACUCAGGAUCCCUCACGAACAGCCUGACCCUGCUUUCAACCAGGAAGUUCAAGGGAGGCAGGACUUUACGGUCAAAACUGCAAAGCCGAAGCUCAAGACUGUAAGAAGAAAGUGAUCUUCAAAGAAAAGGAUUCACCCAAAUCGAAGAGGAUAUCGUUUCGCAUCAGGGACACUCGUCUCCACACCUCCUACCUCAAAGUCCUACGCACCUACCCUUCACGUCUCUCCAAAGCAACUGAAUUAAAGCGCCUACUGGCCUUGGCGGCGCAGGUCCCAAGAUUUUGACUGAUUGGUUGUACGACUAGAGUUGCUGGAGUUCAAGUAUUUUCAUUUUAACUAUUCAACUGAAAGCAGUGCGUUACAACAGAACACGGGUUCCAAAGAAUUUACUGAGAAGAAGCAAAGUAAUACUUGGGAGAACUAUAAUACACAGGCAUCUCAUGAAAAUCAUCCAACAUAUAGAAGAAUAUAUAGAAUAAAGCAAAAAUCAUCAGAAACUCCACCGUCUUGGAUGACCAUAGUUGAUAUUCUGAAUGGCUUCUGUUCCGAUUGAACCUUGACUGAUGUAGCACCUAUCACCAAAUUGCUGUUCAGGAAAUAUGUCCUAAAGAAACUCCCAACAGCAGCAAUACAUCAGAGUGGCACCUCUUUACACUGGUUCUUGAGAAGAUGUCAGAGUGAGAUUUGCAAUAGACUCCCAGCAGCCCCCAGGAGCACCAAGUGAGAUGCCUGCCAGGCCCACUGUGUCCACUGCCCUCUGGUAGCACCUGAGGAUCAUGGAAAAAUGCCCUCAGAAUAUGGGAACCAUCCUGAUUGGAAUAUACAGUGUUGAUAGUGGCUUACAGCCAAGGACUGACUCUCUGGGUGUGCAAAGGUUGUCCUCUUACAUCAAG